rnacentral:misc_RNA from 1 species
GUCAAAAUGCAAUUCAAAUUUCUCCCACUCAACCCUCCGCAUUCUCUUUCAUUUUCUACAAACUUAUAAACCCUAAAACCUCACUCUCUUGUUUACUCCUUUGCCUCUCUUUCUCUCUGGAAGCUCAAAGGCCAUGUUCUCUCCAGGAAUCAAGAGGACGCAUCUCAGCUCUCGAAGGGAUCGUAAUCUAGGCCACAAAGCACCAGAUUCUCCGAUCACACCGCUACCGGAGAGCCGUAAAUCUCUUCACGAUAAUUCAAUCCCUAACCGGCCUAGCACCGGUACUCCUGCUCCUUGGGCUCCUCGACUUUCCGUUCUUGCCCGAAUCCCGCCAGCAAACAAAAGUGAAAAAGGGAAUGAGGCAGAUCCAAUUAAGCCUGUAUAUGUUGGAGAGUUCCCCCAAGUAGCUCGUAGUGAACAAGCCAGCAUUCUGCAGAAGUAUACUCCUGGCGAUGCAUGUAUAUCUGGUGGAAUGGAUAAGGAAACAUGCCUUUCUUGGAUUAUCUGUGGAAACAGACUCUUUAUAUGGAGUUACUUAUCAUCUGGUGCUUCAAAAGAUUGCGUUAUUCUUGAACUUCCUUCAAAUGUUUCAGAUGAUAGAGAUAAUGGGAAAAGUCCAUAUCAUGGUAGCAAUUGGAUGCUUUGUGUUGUCAACAGGGAUAAAUCCAUUGGUGGAAGAAAUAAAGCUGUACAGAGUUGCUAUUCUACUGGUAUUGUAAUGUGUAACCUAAAAACUCAAGUUGUCAUCUACUGGCCUGACAUCUAUUCUAAAGAGGGAUCUAUUCCUGUUACCAGUCUAUUUUCUGCUGAUGAAUUGGAGGCGACUUCUUCCUCUGUUGAUGGGAAGACCACCCCAAAUGGGCAGCAACAACAUAACAGGCCUGGAAGUAGUUCAGUUGGAUUGAAUUCUUUUAACUCUAUGAUUGCUUCUGCAGUGCCUGCUGUCCACAACGAGUGUGUUGCUUUCGUUUGUAGUUCCAAUGGUGAGCUGUGGCAAUUUUAUUGCAGACCCACUGGCAUUCAACGUAGUAAAGUAUAUCAGGACAUAGUAAGUUCAUCCUUCAAAGGAAAUGAUAAUGGUCAAUUUGUUGGGAGCAAGGGUUAUCCAAGGUCACUCAUCUGGCAUUUUCCACUCCAUUCCAUGGAUGUUUCUAGGAGGCAGUUUCUUCUACUGACUGAUCACGAGAUACAAUGCUUUGAUAUUGCAUUUCGUCCUGAUUUAAAUGUGUCAAAGAUCUGGUCUCAUGAAAUUGUUGGUACUGAUGGAGAUUCGGGCAUUAAGAAGGAUUUGGCUGGUCAGAAACGCAUCUGGCCGUUGGAUCUGCAGGUGGACAAUCAUGGUAAAGUGAUCACAGUUCUUGUUGCCACAUUUUGUAAGGAUAGGGUAAGUGGUUCAAGCUAUACACAGUAUUCUCUACUGACCAUGCAAUAUAAGUCUAGAGUAAACAUAUCCUCUGAUAUGCAUGAAAGAGUAUUGGAGAAAAAAAGCUCCAAUCCAAGUGAUAAUCCCAAAGGCAAGACUAGAAGAUGAGGAUUUCUUAUUCUCCAUGAGACUUAGGGUCGGGGGCAGGCCAUCAGGCUCAGCAAUCAUACUUUCUGGUGAUGGAACAGCAACAGUAUCCCAUUAUUAUAGGAAUUCAACCCGCCUCUAUCAGUUUGACCUACCUUACGAUGCUGGAAAAGUUCUGGAUGCUUCAAUUCUUCCUUCUGCUGAGGAUGGUGAAGAUGGUGCAUGGGUUGUGUUAACAGAGAAGGCAGGAAUAUGGGCAAUACCAGAAAAAGCUGUUGUACUUGGUGGAGUUGAACCACCUGAGAGAAGCUUGUCACGUAAAGGGAGCUCAAAUGAAGGAUCUGCAGAAGAAGAGAGAAGAACCAUCACAUUUGCAAGCAACAUUGCUCCUAGAAGAGCUAGUUCUGAAGCAUUGGACGCUGGUGGUAGACAAAGGGCUGUUAUGACUGGAAUUGCUCAUCGAUCUGCCGGUGAUGAAGAAUCAGAAGCUUUACUUGGCCAGCUUUUCCAUAAUUUUCUGUUAACUGGGAAGGUUGAUUCCUCUUUCCAAAAGCUUCAAAACUCCGGGGCAUUUGAAAGGGAUGGAGAAACAAAUGUUUUUGCCCGGACAAGUAAAUCUAUUGUUGACACUUUAGCUAAGCACUGGACAACCACCAGAGGUGCUGAAAUUGUGGCUCUGACCAUAGUAUCCAGCCAACUAAUGGAUAAGCAGCAAAAGCACGAAAGAUUUCUUCAAUUUCUAGCUUUAUCCAAGUGUCACGAGGAGCUAUGUACUGAACAGAGACAGUCUUUGCAAAUAAUCUUGGAGCACGGUGAAAAGCUUGCUGGAAUGAUUCAACUGAGAGAACUGCAAAAUGUAAUCAGCCAGAACCAUUCAAUUGCAGCUGGCCCCCCACAUUCCAGUUCAGAAGCUCAAAUUUCAGGUGCUUUUUGGGAUCUUAUUCAGUUAGUUGGUGAAAGAGCCCGCCGGAAUACUGUUCUUCUUAUGGACAGAGACAAUGCUGAAGUGUUCUACAGUAAGGUUUCUGAUCUUGAAGAAGUAUUUUAUUGCUUAGACAGACACUUAGAAUAUGUAGUAAGUGAGGAACAACCGCUAGAGGUUCAGAUCCAGAGAGCUUGUGAACUCUCAAAUGUAGUUGUCUCUGUAUUUCGCACUGCUACGCUUUACAGAAAUGAGCAUCACAUGUGGUAUCCACCGCCUGAGGGCCUGACACCUUGGUGUUGUAAAACUGUGGUGCGGAAUGGGCUGUGGAGAGUUGCAUCUUUCAUGCUUCAGCUGCUAAAUGAAACAACUGGACUAAAAAAUUCUUUAAAAUCUGAUCUGUAUAGUCAUCUGGAAGUACUGGCUGAAGUUCUUCUUGAGGCAUAUGCUGGUGCUAUUGCAGCUAAACUUGAGUGUGGAGAAGAACAUAAAGGACUACUAAAAGAGUAUUGGAAUAGGAGGGAUUCUCUUCUUGACUACCUCUAUCAAAAACUGAAAGAUUUUGUGGAAGGCGGGCACCAGGAUUUGAAUAUAGGAACCAAUGAACAAAAUGAAGAAGUCCUUAGAAAGCUUUCUUCAAGUUUGCUGUCCAUUGCAAAAAAACAUGAAGGGUACAAUACUAUGUGGAGUAUAUGUUGUGACCUUAAUGAUGCGGUGUUGCUGAGGAAUCUUAUGCAUGAGAGCAUGGGACCUAAAGGAGGUUUCAGUUAUUUUGUGUUUAAACGACUGUAUGAAAAGAGGCAAUUUUCCAAGCUUCUAAGGCUUGGGGAGGAGUUUCAAGAAGAGUUAUCUAUUUUUCUAAAGCAUCAUCAGGAUCUACUUUGGCUUCAUGAGUUGUUCCUUCAUCAGUUUUCCUCAGCUUCUGAAACUCUUCAUGUUUUGGCUGUUUCUCAAGAUGAACACUCUUGUUCA